rnacentral:tRNA from 1 species
UAAGACUUACGGCACACUAGACCGUAUCUUCUGAAUGCAACUCAAACACUUUAACUAAGCUAAAGCCUUA